CCUACGGGGGGCAGCAGUCGAGAAUCAUUCACAAUGGGGGAAACCCUGAUGGUGCGACGCCGCGUGGGGGAAUGAAGGUCUUCGGAUUGUAAACCCCUGUCAUGUGGGAGCAAAUUAAAAAGAUAGUACCACAAGAGGAAGAGACGGCUAACUCUGUGCCAGCAGCCGCGGUAAUACAGAGGUCUCAAGCGUUGUUCGGAAUCACUGGGCGUAAAGCGUGCGUAGGCUGUUUCGUAAGUCGUGUGUGAAAGGCGCGGGCUCAACCCGCGGACGGCACAUGAUACUGGGAGACUAGAGUGAGGGAGGGGGAACCGGAAUUCUCGGGGUAGCAGUGAAAUGCGUAGAUAUCGGGAGGAACACUCGUGGCGAAGGCGGGUUCCUGGACAUUAACUGACGCUGAGGCACGAAGGCCAGGGGAGCGAAAGGGAUUAGAUACCCGAGUAGUC
rnacentral:rRNA from 1 species